CCGACUGCGGAAGACAUUA
rnacentral:rRNA from 1 species